rnacentral:rRNA from 1 species
ACGCACGCUGGCGGCAUGCUUCACACAUGCAAGUCGCACGGAAAGGCCCUGCUUUUGUGGGGUGCUCGAGUGGCGAACGGGUGAGUAACACGUGAGUAACCUGCCCUUGACUUUGGGAUAACUUCAGGAAACUGGGGCUAAUACCGGAUAGGAGCUCCUGCUGCAUGGUGGGGGUUGGAAAGUUUCGGCGGUUGGGGAUGGACUCGCGGCUUAUCAGCUUGUUGGUGGGGUAGUGGCUUACCAAGGCUUUGACGGGUAGCCGGCCUGAGAGGGUGACCGGCCACAUUGGGACUGAGAUACGGCCCAGACUCCUACGGGAGGCAGCAGUGGGGAAUAUUGCACAAUGGGCGGAAGCCUGAUGCAGCAACGCCGCGUGCGGGAUGACGGCCUUCGGGUUGUAAACCGCUUUCGCCUGUGACGAAGCGUGAGUGACGGUAAUGGGUAAAGAAGCACCGGCUAACUACGUG